rnacentral:rRNA from 1 species
GACGAACGCUGGCGGCGUGCUUAACACAUGCAAGUCGAACGGAAAGGCCCUGCUUUUGUGGGGUGCUCGAGUGGCGAACGGGUGAGUAACACGUGAGUAACCUGCCCUUGACUUUGGGAUAACUUCAGGAAACUGGGGCUAAUACCGGAUAGGAGCUCCUGCUGCAUGGUGGGGGUCGGAAAGUUUCGGCGGUUGGGGAUGGACUCGCGGCUUACCAGCUUGUUGGUGGGGUAGUUGCUUACCAAGGCUUCGACUGGUAGCCGGCCUGGGAGGGGGACCGCCCACAUGGGUCCUGAGAGAGGGCGCAGACUCCUACGUGAGGCAGCAGUGGGGAACAUUGCCCAGUGGUCGGAAGCCUGAUGCAGCAACGCCGCGUGCGGGAUGACGGCUUUCGGGUUGUAAACCGCUUUAGCCUGUGACGAAGCGUGAGUGACGGUAAUGGGUAAAGAAGCACCGGCUAACUACGUG